GUGCUCGCUUCGGCAGUACAAAUACUAACAUUGGAAUGAUACAGAUGAGAUUAGUUUGGCCCCUGUGCAAGGAUGACACGCAAAUUCGUGAACGUUCCAUAUUUUUU
rnacentral:snRNA from 1 species